UACGGAGGGUGCAAGCGUUAUCCGGAUUCACUGGGUUUAAAGGGUGCGUAGGAGGGCAGGUAAGUCAGUGGUGAAAUCUCCAAGCUUAACUUGGAAACUGCCGUUGAUACUAUCUGUCUUGAAUAUUGUGGAGGUGAGCGGAAUAUGUCAUGUAGCGGUGAAAUGCUUAGAUAUCGGGAGGAACACCAGUGGCGAAGGCGAGUCCCUGGACAAUUCCUGACGCUGAGGCACGAAAGCUAGGGGAGCAAACAGG
rnacentral:rRNA from 1 species